rnacentral:rRNA from 1 species
GAUGAACGCUGGCGGCGUGCCUAAUACAUGCAAGUCGAACGAGGUGCUUUUGUAGCAAUACGAGAGUAUCCUAGUGGCGAACGGGUGAGUAAUGCGUUGGUGUCCUACCCCAAAGUGUGGGAUAACAGAUCGAAAGAUCUGCUAAUACCGCAUGUGGUCUUCGGAUUUAGAAACUGAUGACUAAAGGAGCAAUUCGCUUUGGGAGGGACCUGCGUCCCAUCAGCUAGUUGGUGAGGUAACGGCUCACCAAGGCGACGACGGGUAGGGGACCUGAGAGGGUGGCCCCCCACAAUGGAACUGAAACACGGUCCAUACACCUACGGGUGGCAGCAGUAGGGAAUAUUGCUCAAUGGGCGAAAGCCUGAAGCAGCAACGCCGCGUGUGCGAUGAAGGCCUUCGGGUCGUAAAGCACUUUUCUGAGGGAUGAGAAAGGACAGUACCUCAGGAAUAAGUCUCGGCUAACUACGUGCCAGCAGCCGCGGUAACAC